UCAUUUCGUCGGGAUGGCCGUCAUAGGCGUUUUGCGCCUGGGUAUAGGUGAGCGAGGCCUUGCUGCGGAUCAUGGCCCGCAUGAAGCGGU
rnacentral:tRNA from 1 species